GUCUGUGAAGACCCUCCACCAAGGCUCUCGGGCCUGGCAUCUGGCAGCGUCCCCCAGCUUUGAGGAGCCCCAAUGGGUGUCCCCUCUGACACCUGUCCUCAAGGCUGAGAUGUGGACAUACCUGCACGCUGGCGGAUGGAUAUUUCUUUCAUUCAUUCAUUCAUUCAUCAUCAGUGUCUUAAUGAGCCUCAACAACAAGCCAAGGUCUCUGCUCUUCUGGAAAUUGUGUCCUAAAGGGGGAGACAGCUGAGCAAAUAAUCUCAGGGCCACCGCUUGUGAUUCAUGGAACAACAUAGGCUAUUGAGGGAGAGUAAUGGGGAACCCAUCAGAGCAGGCCUCUCAAGGGGCCUCUUAGUGGGCCUGAAGCUGUGCCCUUAGGGGAGGAGGGCUCCAGGCAGGAGCACAUCUGUCUCCAAAGCACCCCCUGCAGUUGCUCAAAACAGAAUUUGAAACCUCUGCUCCACCUCUGCCUAGUUUCCCUAGGUCGGGGGGACCCCUCCAUCCAGCCAACUGUGCGCCCAAAGCCUGGAGGUCCAGCCGUACGCUCCUCUGGCCCACACCUCCAGUCACCAAGUCCCGAGGAUUGUCCCUGGAACUUGACAGCGUCACUCUGCCUCCACCCUGUCCCAGAUGCCACCUUCUCUCUCCCCCCACCCCCACUGGUUCCCUGGUUUCGUUCUUGUGCUCUUCCCAUCCCACGCCUGCUGGGAGUGCCACAAUCGCUAUAGCCCCAGGCUGGCUGGCGACGGAUAAAGGGAGAUGUGGCAGAAACCGGCUCUCCCCCUCCGUCCACUGUGCUCCAGCUCGACCCCACCUGCCAGGCCCUCGGGGGCUGAGAACAGUUCUCUCCGCUUCUACCUCCUGCAGCAAACUGUCCUCAGAACUGCUGCCACAAAAAGCAUUUUGCAGCGGUGGAGCCACUCUAGAAUCCCCCCAAACAUCCCCUAAUAGGGGGCUCCCUCGUCUGCUUGGCCCACAGAAGGGAUAGCUAAUAAACCCUUUAUUUUAGAAUCA
ensembl:lncRNA